rnacentral:rRNA from 1 species
AGUGAACGCUGGCGGUAGGCCUAACACAUGCAAGUCGAACGGCAGCACAGUAAGAGCUUGCUCUUACGGGUUGCGAGUGUCUGACGGGUUAGGAAUACAUUGGAAUCUACUCUUUCGUGGGGGAUAACGUAGGUAAACUUACGCUAAUACCUCAUACGACCUACGGGUGAAAUCAGGGGAUCUUCGGACCUUGCGCUAUUGAAUGAGCCGAUGUCGGAUUCGCUAGUUGGCGGGGUAAAGGCCCACCAUGGCGACGAUCCGUAGCUGGUCUGAGAGGAUGUUCAGCCUAACUGGAACUGAAACACGGCGCAGACACCUACGUGAGGCAGCAGUGGGGAAUAUUGGACGAUGGGGGCGAGCCUGAUCCAGCCAUACCGCGUAGGUGAAGAAGGCGUUCGGGUUGUGAAGCCCUUUUGUUGGGAAAGAAAAGCAGCAGGUUAAUACCGCGCUGUACUGACGGUACCCAAAGAAUAAGCACAGGCUAACUUCGUG